AACGCGAAGAACCUUACCUACUCUUGACAUCCAGAGAACUUACCAGAGAUGGAUUGGUGCCUUCGGGAACUCUGAGACAGGUGCUGCAUGGCUGUCGUCAGCUCGUGUUGUGAAAUGUUGGGUUAAGUCCCGCAACGAGCGCAACCCUUAUCCUUUGUUGCCAGCGGUUAGGCCGGGAACUCAAAGGAGACUGCCAGUGAUAAACUGGAGGAAGGUGGGGAUGACGUCAAGUCAUCAUGGCCCUUACGAGUAGGGCUACACACGUGCUACAAUGGCGCAUACAAAGAGAAGCGACCUCGCGAGAGCAAGCGGACCUCAUAAAGUGCGUCGUAGUCCGGAUUGGAGUCUGCAACUCGACUCCAUGAAGUCGGAAUCGCUAGUAAUCGUAGAUCAGAAUGCUACGGUGAAUACGUUCCCGGGCCUUGUACACACCG
rnacentral:rRNA from 1 species